rnacentral:rRNA from 1 species
GUGGGAACGUACCUUUUGGUUCGGAACAACUGAGGGAAACUUCAGCUAAUACCGGAUAAGCCCUUACGGGGAAAGAUUUAUCGCCGAAAGAUCGGCCCGCGUCUGAUUAGCUAGUUGGUGAGGUAAUGGCUCACCAAGGCGACGAUCAGUAGCUGGUCUGAGAGGAUGAUCAGCCACAUUGGGACUGAGACACGGCCCAAACUCCUACGGGAGGCAGCAGUGGGGAAUAUUGGACAAUGGGCGCAAGCCUGAUCCAGCCAUGCCGCGUGAGUGAUGAAGGCCCUAGGGUUGUAAAGCUCUUUUGUGCGGGAAGAUAAUGACGGUACCGCAAGAAUAAGCCCCGGCUAACUUCGUGCCAGCAGCCGCGGUAAUACGAAGGGGGCUAGCGUUGCUCGGAAUCACUGGGCGUAAAGGGUGCG